rnacentral:lncRNA from 10 species
CUCCAAAGUAAUGCUGAUAACCACAGUGAGCACCAAAGCCAAAUGCCAAAAACCAAAAAGGAUGGCAAGAAUCAACCACAGGGGACAUCAGAGGACCACAGGUGGAGGAGAAGAGGCGAAAGUGGAAGCAACACAGGAUUACUCUGGAUGCUAUGCUGAGAAGAAACUGAAGACAAUGGUGGAAGUGGGAAAGCUUAUGACUCAGAAUAACUAUUUCUAAUAACAAAUUUUAAGUUCUCUUCAUGGUAUUAAGAAGAGAGAAAGAAUCUGAGAAAUUAUGGCGUACUCAACUGUGGACAGCUGAAAGUCUGGCAUAGCGUGCCCUCAUCAUCACAAAUGGGCUCGCAUUACAAGCUACACUUAUUUGACAACUAUCAGCAUUUGUCAACCGGCACUCAGAUUUGAAGACUCAUUUCACAGCUGGAGCAAGAGAAGACAGGAAGGAAAAAUCAGAGUAAGGUUUCAAUGAGUUUCUGCAAAUUCUCAGAAGUUUUGCUGCCACUCAGUGUCACAAUAACAAAAAG